CUGGCUGCCAGUGGGUGCUGAGCACCUAUUUUUUCUCUGUUGGUUCUGCAGCCCCAUAGCUCCCAUGGAGUCACUGACUUGGCUUCCUUCGUACUCUAGAGAGAGGAACAGAACCAGGGCCAUGGCUGAUCUAUGGGGCACCAGGAUGUCUGGGAGAAGGAUUAAGCCU